GAUGAAGAACGCAGUGAAAUGCGAUAAGUAAUGUGAAUUGCAGAAUUCAGUGAAUCAUCGAAUCUUUGAACGCACAUUGCGCCCAUUAGUAUUCUAGUGGGCAUGCCUGUUCGAGCGUCAUUUCAACCCUUAAGCCUAGCUUAGUAUUGGGAAUCGACUUUACUGUCGUUCCUCAAAUUCAACGGCGGAUUUAUAGCAAUCUCUGAACGUAGUAAUUUUUUUUCUCGUUUUUGAAAUACUAUAAACCUCAGCCGCUAAACCCCCAAUUUCUUAUGGUUGACCUCGGAUCAGGUAGGAAUACCCGCUGAACUUAAGCAUAUCAAUAAGAGGAGGA
rnacentral:misc_RNA from 1 species